rnacentral:rRNA from 1 species
AGCGAACGCUGGCGGCAGGCCUAACACAUGCAAGUCGAACGGAUCCUUCGGGAUUAGUGGCGGACGGGUGAGUAACACGUGGGAACGUGCCCUUUGGUUCGGAACAACUCAGGGAAACUUGAGCUAACACCGGAUGUGCCCUUCGGGGGAAAGAUUUAUCGCCAUUGGAGCGGCCCGCGUCUGAUUAGCUAGUUGGUGAGGUAAAGGCUCACCAAGGCGACGAUCAGUAGCUGGUCUGAGAGGAUGAUCAGCCACAUUGGGACUGAGACACGGACCAAACUCCUACGGGAGGCAGCAGUGGGGAAUCUUGCGCAAUGGGCGAAAGCCUGACGCAGCCAUGCCGCGUGAAUGAUGAAGGUCUUAGGAUUGUAAAAUUCUUUCACCGGGGACGAUAAUGACGGUACCCGGAGAAGAAGCCCCGGCUAACUUCGUGCCAGCAGCCGCCGUAAUAC